GGGGGGGGAAUGUUGCUAACAAGAUAAAACAACCGCAAACACCACCACCGCUACUAUGUCGAACCAGCCACCAUAUUCGACACCACCAGUACCACCGCCAGUCCAAUCAAACGACAUCGUGUCACGCAUGGGUUCGCGUCAAUUUCGUUGAUUGAAUAAUAAAUACAACGAUGCAAAACAUACACAAAGAGACCAAAAAUCCAAUUGUGGAUUAGAGAACGAGACGAGUCCAUGUCAAAUAAACAAGUCGAUCUCAUCCCAUUUAAUUUGGUCACUUGGACUGGGCUCAUUUUACCAUCAUUUUGUGCAUCAAUUUGUCCACGCUAGUUAAACACGCAAGCUAAGAGACAAAAACCCAUUUGUCUGCCUACUUUUUUUUAAUAUUUUCUUUUCACAUUGCUUUCAUAUUUCAUUUAUACAUCACAUAUGUCAAUGAAAAUGACACAUAAUUGUGCAUUCAAGUUUGUAGUAAAUUUGAUCAUGUGAAUCACUUUCGGGUGGUUAAUGGCUAUUACAACAAAGACACAAAAAUUGUCACGUAGCUAUAAUAGAUUUGCUGUCAGCCAUGCACUCAGCUUCAGUGCAUGUACUGUUUUAUAGCCUCAGAGAAAAUAUUUUUAGCCAUGACGUGCAUUCAUGGCAUUCACGACGUGUUAACAUUUUCGGAAGGUCUAUCAAGGACAAAAAGAAUAUAGCUUUUGUUUUCAAAAAAUUGCAUUAACAAUAUCCACACACAAAUCUUCAAUUAUGUUCGGUUUUGCAAGAUUGUGUGGACGAAAUGAAACUAUGUUAGAAAAUAAUUGGUUGGUGAAAAUCAUUAUAGAAACA
rnacentral:lncRNA from 1 species